AGGAGAGAUGGCUUAAAGGGGUACGCGGGCUUCUUCUGCGUAUCCGCUCUAGGAUGGGACUGCGUCCGAUCAGGCUGUUGGCGGGGUAAUGGCCCACCAAACCUGUAACCGGUACGGGCCUUGAGAGAGGUGGCCCGGAGAUGGACACUGAGAGAAGGGUCCAGGUCCUACGGGGCGCAGCAGGCGCGAAACCUUCGCAAUGCGCGAAAGCGUGACGAGGUUAAUCCGAGUGACUUCCGCUGAGGAGGUCUUUUGUCAGCUGUAAAUAGGCAGGCGAAUAAGGGGAGGGCAAGCCUGGUGUCAGCCGCCGCGGUAAUACCAGCUCCUCGAGUGGUCGGGGCGAUUAUUGGGCCUAAAGCAUCCGUAGCCGGUUCCGUAGGUCCUCUGUUAAAUCCAACCGCUUAACGGUUGACCUGCAGAGGAUACCGCGGGACUAGGAGGCGGGAGAGGCGGACGGUACUCCGCGUGUAGGGGUAAAAUCCUUUGAUCCGCGGAAGACCACCAGUGGCGAAGGCGGUCCGCCAGAACGCGCUCGACGGUGAGGGAUGAAAGCUGGGGGAGCGAACCGGAUUAGAUACCCGGGUAGUCCCAGCCGUAAACGAUGCUAGCUAGAUGAUUCAUUCGCAAGUCGCGAAUGAAGUGUCGCAGGGAAGCCGUUA
rnacentral:rRNA from 1 species